GGGGUCGUAGCCCAAUUGGCAGAGGCACGUGCCUUAGGAGCACGCCAGUGCGGGUUCGAGUCCCGCCGACCCCA
rnacentral:tRNA from 1 species